GACAUAUUCCGGUUGAUCCUGCCGGAGGCCAUUGCUAUUGGGAUCCGAUUUAGCCAUGCUAGUCGUACGAGUUCACACUCGUGGCGAAUAGCUCAGUAACACGUGGCCAAACUACCCUUCGGAGCGCAAUACCCUCGGGAAACUGAGGCUAAUAGUACAUACCAUACCACCACUGGAAUGAGUGGUAUGCCAAACGCUCCGGCGCCGAAGGAUGUGGCUGCGGCCGAUUAGGUAGACGGUGGGGUAACGGCCCACCGUGCCAAUAAUCGGUAUGGGUCAUGAGAGUGAGAACCCAGAGACGGAAUCUGAGACAAGAUUCCGGGCCCUACGGGGCGCAGCAGGCGCGAAACCUUUACACUGCACGGCAGUGCGAUAGGGGGAUCCCAAGUGCACAGGCAUAGCGCCUGUGCUUUUCGACACCCUAAGGCGGUGUCAGAAUAAGGGCUGGGCAAGACCGGUGCCAGCCGCCGCGGUAAUACCGGCAGCCCAAGUGAUGGCCGAUCUUAUUGGGCCUAAAGCGUCCGUAGCUACUUUCC
rnacentral:rRNA from 1 species